rnacentral:rRNA from 1 species
UACGAAGGGGGCUAGCGUUGCUCGGAAUCACUGGGCGUAAAGCGCACGUAGGCGGAUUGCUAAGUCAGGGGUGAAAUCCUGGAGCUCAACUCCAGAACUGCCCUUGAUACUGGCGGUCUCGAGUCCGGGAGAGGUGAGUGGAACUGCGAGUGUAGAGGUGAAAUUCGUAGAUAUUCGCAAGAACACCAGUGGCGAAGGCGGGUCUCUGGACAGUUCCUGACACUGAGGCAC